AUGUUCCAUUUUUGUCCUAUUAGAGUGCCCUUUUUUCAACCCUCUGUCCAAUUGGCUGCUUUUAAGAUCCUACUGAUGGGUGCGUUUUACAGAGCGCUGAUUGGUGCAUUUUACAAUCCCCUUGCUAGCUACAGAGCACUGAUUGGUGCGUUUUACAAUCCUAGCUGCAGAGUGCUGAUUGGUGCAUUUUACAAUCCCCUUGUAAGGAAGAAAAGUUCUCCAAGUCCCCACUCGACCCAGGAAGUCCAGCUGACUUCACCUCGCAAAGCGACCUUCAUCUUCACUGAAGGCUUAGGAAAAGAGAUAAGUCAUUCCACUUCUUCUGAGGGAGCGAGGAAAGAGACGAAGUUCAGAAAUGUACCAACUGACUACCUUGACCUAGACAUAGGCAUCAGAAUGGUUGCACUCAGCAAUAAAGACUGAACUGGGAAUAGAAAGAUGAACAAGGCAGUGCACUUCCCUUCAAAGAGCUUACAGAGUCACAACCAGCAGGUAAAACAGAACACAUCUCAGCUUAGAAUCUUAGACGCUCACCUGUGAAACAAGAACACUAAUACCAACCUCAAAUAUUUGUUGUUUGAAUUCAGUGAGAUUUUGUGUAUAAAGUAUGUACCAUCAUAUCUAGCUCAAGAAAUAAUUUAAUAGAUGUUUGUUUCUCAUCUCUGCUUUUCACAUUCAGAUUGCCUCUACAUUGUGCGGAAUGAAAUAGGUUCUAUGUUUUUAAGAUAUUCUAGACCUCUAAGAAUUCUUUAACAAAUGGAAGAUCAAAGUUAUAAGCAUUUUCUUUAGGGACUGUGAGUCAGAAGAUAGACAUUUGAUAGCAUUAAACAUUAAAGAAACAGAAAUAAAGUAAGUUAGCCUUUACCUGCCUCUGAUGAUAAAGACUGCUGUAGUAAAUAUUGGUUAAACAAAAACCACAUAAAGUAAUAUAACUUUAUUUCUUGCAGCCUUCAGCAACUAAAUACUCAAAAAGUGUAAUCAAAUUCUUGAAAGACAGAAUCUGUCAAUCUAAAAUUUUGUGAAAAGAUAAGCUGUUUUUCAAGAAUGAGGACAAACUAAAGGCAUGAUUAAACAGAAGAAACUUGGACUGUUUAACAACCAUAGAUCCUCAUUUAAGAACUUUCAAGCAGAAGAGAAAUCACAUUAGAAUGAAAGUUUGAGUUGCAAAGAGUAAAAUGUAUAUAGGCAUUGGUAAAUAUGGGAUACAUAUGAACAAACAGUAUUUGUU
rnacentral:lncRNA from 1 species